rnacentral:rRNA from 1 species
AGCGAACGCUGGCGGCAGGCCUAAUACAUGCAAGUCGAACGGCUCUUCAGAGCAGUGGCGGACGGGUGAGUAACGCGUGGGAAUGUGCCCUUUGGUACGGAACAACACAGGGAAACUUGUGCUAAUACCGUAUGCGCCCUUCGGGGGAAAGAUUUAUCGCCAUUGGAGCAGCCGCCGUGAGAUUAGCUAGUCGGUGAGGUAAAGGCUCACCAAGGCAACGAUCUAUAGCUGGUCUGAGAGGAUGAUCAGCCACACUGGGACUGAGAAACGGCCCAGACUACUACGGGAGGCAGCAGUGGGGAAUCUUGCGCAAUGGGCGAAAGCCUGACGCAGCCAUGCCGCGUGAAUGAUGAAGGUCUUAGGAUUGUAAAAUUCUUUUACCAGGGACGAUAAUGACGGUACCUGGAGAAAAAGCCCCGGCUAACUUCGUGCCAGCAGCCGCCGUAAAAC